AGGGUUCGAUUAUGGCUCAGGAUGAACGCUGGCGGCGUGCUUAACACAUGCAAGUCGAACGAAGCACUCUAUUUGAUUUUCUUCGGAAAUGAAGAUUUUGUGACUGAGUGGCGGACGGGUGAGUAACGCGUGGGUAACCUGCCUCAUACAGGGGGAUAACAGUUGGAAACGACUGCUAAUACCGCAUAAGCGCACAGGAUCGCAUGAUCCGGUGUGAAAAACUCCGGUGGUAUGGGAUGGACCCGCGUCUGAUUAGCUAGUUGGCAGGGUAACGGCCUACCAAAGCGACGAUCAGUAGCCGACCUGAGAGGGUGACCGGCCACAUUGGGACUGAGACACGGCCCAA
rnacentral:rRNA from 1 species